CUCUUGCAGUGAUGAAUUCUGAAAUUUAACACAUGUCAGACUUCAGAGAUUUAUUGGGUUUUCCCCCAAAAAAAUCUAUGAGAAGAAAAUUCAUUUUUCUGAGCAGAG